rnacentral:rRNA from 1 species
AGUUUGAUCAUGGCUCAGAACGAACGCUGGCGGCACACUUAACACAUGCAAGUCGAACGAAUUGAGAGGUGCUUGCACCUUGAUAUUAGUGGCAAACGGGUGAGUAACGCGUAGGAAUUUACCUUUUGGUGGGGGAUAGCUUCGGGAAACUGAAGGUAAUACCGCAUAAUAUCUGCUCUGCAGAAGAAAGAUUUAUUGCCAAAAGAUAAGCCUGCGUCAGAUUAGGUAGUUGGUAGGGUAAUGGCUUACCAAGCCGAAGAUCUGUAGCUGGUCUGAGAGGAUGAUCAGCCACACUGGGACUGAGAUACGGCCCAGACUCCUACGGGAGGCAGCAGUGAGGAAUAUUGGACAAUGGGAGAAAUCCUGAUCCAGUGAUGUCGCGUGAGUGAAGAAGGCUUUCGAGUCGUAAAACUCUUUCAUUUGUGAAGAUUAUGACGGUAACAAAAUAAGAAACUCCGGCUAACUUCGUGCCAGCAGCCGCGGUAAUACGAGGGGAGUAAGCGUUGUUCGGAAUUAUUGGGCGUAAAGGGUGUGUAGGCGGUUAUAUAAGUAAAAUGUUAAAUCCCCGGGCUUAACCUUGGAAUUGCAUUUUAUACUGUAUUAACUAGAAUGUGGUA